AGAGAAUCCAAAGAAAUGAGGGAAAAUGGAGGGAGGGGGCGGGGGAUCAAGCUAGAGAGAGAGAGACAUUUUAGAGGGGAGAAAAUAAAGCAGACAGCUGGUCACAGACAGCCUGCCAGAAAAGAGAGGGGGGGCAGGAGCCCGGCCGCCACAAAUACGACAUUCUUGUGAGUCAGACGGUCCGACGCUGGCGGGAUCCUUCCUUCCUGGACGCAGGAAGCUCCCCCCCUCCUCCCCCUCACGGCCCUGCAGUGGGAACCCACCCCCCCCCCCCCCCCCCCGGCUGACCCUCUGCUGAGUCCGAACGGCGGGCCGGACUCAAACCCGCGGCCUCCUCACGGCGUCUCUGCACUAUGCAUUCCACUGUCCCCCGAUACCAAAGAUGACCGGGCCUGUGGGGGCGGAGCCGGGCCUAUGGGGGCGGAGCCGGACCUGUGGGGGCGGAGCCGGGUCUAUGGGGGCGGAGCCGGACACGUGGGGGCGGAGCCGGGUCUAUGGGGGCGGAGCCGGACCCGUGGGGACGGAGCCGGGCCUGUGAGGGCGGAGCCGGACCUCUGAAGGGUAGCCGGUCUUGUUUGGGCGGAGCCGGAUGUGGGGGCGGAGCCAGGUGUCCCAACGGAGGUUUUCUGGUCGCAUCACGGAGACGGACGGUGAAUGGACUCCCACAAGGGGGCGCUGCUCCCACCAGGGGGCGCUGUGGCCCUCGAGGCCGGAGCGCUGCUCCCACCAGGGGGCGCUGCUCCCACCAGGGGGCGCUGCUCCCACCAGGGGGCGCUGCUCCCACCAGGGGGGCGCUGUGGCCCUCGAGGCCGGAGCGCGGCAUGACACAAAGACUGGACAGAGUCGCUGAUACAGGGGGGGGACAUUGUACCGGCCCCGAGGACUACAGUUGAAAUAGAAAACAUAUAAAAACAUGCAAAAUUGUACAAACUCAUGCUAAAGUUGAAGAUAUUCUGAAGGUUAUAUAUGUGGUACUUUUCUUUUCCUUUGUUAAAUGUAGUUGCACGAAUACAGUUUUAUUUUACAGAGAAUCGUGACCGGCGCUUUGAACCUUUGUGGUACGUUCUGAUUUGUCUUUUUCUUUUGACCUUUUUCUGAGUGUAAAAUAGAGCCCCCCCCCCUCACCCCAAUCUUAAAUGCUACUUCAGCAUAUAAAUACGAGGAAAUAUUAUUUAUAGGCUUUUGAUGUAGUAGACAAAUUAUAUGUAUAAUUAUUAGCCCAUGAGACGAAUCCCAAAGAUACCGACUUUGUUUUCUCUCGUUUGCCGGGCAAAGAAAGGCACAAAGCUCUUAAAUGCAUUUUUUUUUAUCUGUUAUGGAUUUCAUUUUUAUUACAAACAAUGAACGCAAUUAAGUUAAAAAAAAACAAUGGUCUCUAGAUUUCCCUGCAUUGUUUUCAUCCUAUUUUUAUAUUCACCACUUGGUGAAAUAAAUCCAAUAAGAGAC
ensembl:lncRNA